rnacentral:rRNA from 1 species
GAUGAACGCUAGCUACAGGCUUAACACAUGCAAGUCGAGGGGUAACGAGAGGAAAGCUUGCUUUCCUUGUCGACGACCGGCGCACGGGUGAGUAACGCGUCUCCAACCUGCCCCCAACUAGGGAAUAACCUUGCGAAAGUAAGACUAAUACCCUAUAAUUUCCUCAGAUGACAUCUGACGAGGAAUAAAGAUUUAUCGGUUGUGGAUGGGGAUGCGUCUGAUUAGCUUGUUGGUGGGGUAACGGGCCACCAAGGCAACGAUCAGUAGGGGUUCUGAGAGGGAGGUCACCCACAUUGGAACUGAGACACGGGCCAAACUCCUACGGGAGGCAGCAGUGAGGAAUAUUGGUCAAUGGGCGGAAGCCUGAACCAGCCAAGUAGCGUGCAGGAUGACGGCCCUAUGGGUUGUAAACUGCUUUUAUACAGGAAUAAAGUUAGCCACGUGUGGUUAUUUGUAGGUACUGUAUGAAUAAGGACCGACUAAUUCCGUGCCAGCAGCCGCCGUAA